rnacentral:lncRNA from 1 species
GAAAAACUAAAUCCAUCAAAAACCAAACCACACAACACAACAAAUCCUCCAAACUCAACAACCCCAUAAUUCCUUAACCUCUCUCUAUAAAUAAACACACAUACUUCCCCAUCCCUAUUUGAGCAUCAUCAUGGCUAGACACAUCUCCCUGAGAAACCACCAACUCAGCAUUUCACACUUGGGAUUUGGAGUUGCUAGUCUCAUCCUGUGUGCAUUGACUCUCUUCAUGUGUGCCAGCCACUCGCACAGGCGAUGGCGCAGGUGGAGAUCUUGCUACGGCUAUGGGAGCCACGAUCCCGUCAUCCAACUCAACCACGAAGAGAUCAUGGAUUACCAGUUAGAAGGAGAUGUGGAGCCGAGCGGUGAAGGCAGUCUGUGGAAGAAGAAUAUAAUGAUGGGAGGAAAGUGUCAGCUCCCCGACUUCUCCGGUGUGAUUAUCUACGACUCCACAGGGACCGUUGUCACCCCUGCCAUAAACCAGACAGCUCUUCCUGCACUUACAUGGAGAUGAUGGAGAUUCCUACAGCUGUUUUCUUGUAAAUCAAGAUUAAUUUCUCCUGUAAUCUCAAUGGCAAAUUUCUAUUCAUCAUAAGGGCUUGACUGUGCAGCACAGCACAAUGGCCAAUAUAAACAUCUCAUCAACCCUUUCACAAAUGAAACGUGGGCGUGUAUCUUAUAUGCUUAAUCAUCGAUAUCAGCAUAAACAAAAGAUAGCUUCGGAAAGUUGGUGCUCGAUUGCCAGAACAGAAUGCAGGCAAGAUUUCAUUCAAACAAUCAGAAACAACCAAUCACAUAUCAUUUAACAAACGCACCUACCAAAAAAUGAUUGACAAAGCCGUUGGUCAUGAAUUCUUGUUAUAAACAGCUAACGGGUAGAAACAGGUGUCUGAUAAAAAUUUCUCUCCUUCAUCAAACACUUAGUAAAUUUCAUCUUUCAAGCAUUUCAUCAAAAACUUGACAAAAUUUUCAUCUUUCAAGCAUUUAAUCGAAUACUUGAGUGACCUUUUACGCUCACGAGGAGUGUGAAUACAGAAAGUUGAGAGUUAAAUAAUCAAAAAAUUGGACAAACCAUGACGCACCAUAGUUGGUAAUUGUCUGUAAAUCAGAGUAAUUCAAAGAAGAAGUCAAUUCCCUCUAUCCAACAAGCAGAAUGCAUAUAUGAAACACAGGAGAAUAAUUAGUUUACGGAGUUUUUGGAUGCUUUAAUUUGGCGCAAGAUUUCCUUCAAAUUGUCAUCACUGUCGUGGCGGUAACAAGAUUAGGUUUGGCAGUUUUGAGCAAGUUUGUGGGUGAAUUGCUCCCUCCUCCAUGUCUCGAUUCUUUUACUCCUCUUUGACUCUGAAAAUUCAGUGAUAAUUUGGUGGGAAAUUUACAAAUGGAGAAGGAGGGAAUUCAAAGGAAUUUAUAUAUGGCGGCGGACUCAUCCCCGAAACAAAUAAUGUAGGAUCAUUUAUAUACAUACUCCCUUAUAAAUACGAAAAG